CUGCCCCCAAGCCUCCACCCGGCCCUCCAAGGCCACACUGAGCCCACCCACCCGAUGGGACUGCUGAGAGUCACAGUCUGUGCUCAGGGGCACGUGUGAAGGGAAGGGGGUAGGGCUGGGUAAGGAGGGAAGGAUGAAGCUCUUUUCCUCCUUUCCUGGGGAGGCUCUCGAGUGGUGGAGAUGCCAGCCCAGCUUUUUAAAUAAUGUGACCGCAGUGGCUGGGGCUCUGACAAGGAGGGAAGUGACACUCCAGUUAUCACUGCACACUCAUGUCUGGGGUGUUGCUGAUGGCACAGGCACACGGGACAGUGUCUGACAGACACCUCCUCUAAGGGGUGGAGACGCAGGAGGGAAGGGGCCCUGGUCCAGGGCCACAGCGUCGCCUGCACUUCCUCACCCUCCCUCCCGUCGGUCUUCUCCUUCCUGUCUGGGGAGUCCCUAGCAACCGCACUGGCUGCCCUGGCUCCUGAGCCGCUGACGUCUCUGUCUGGAGGGAGCCAUUUCCCUUUCACAUUGCUCCCCCUCCCCAAACUGGCACCACCACUUACAGUCACCAGCAAGAUAAAACCCGGGGUGGGGGGCUCCCCCCUCUUCCUGUCUGGCCACUCUGUACCAAAUGGGCCCCAGGGCCUGGCCUGGCCUCCCCAUGUCAAGGAUACAGGGGUGGGGAGGUGGAAGGGGAAUUAGAGGAAUUACUUAGCAAUUUAAAUAGCAUGGCACAUCCACCCAGUCACCUGAUCUCUGCAGGUGGCAGCCCCUGCCAGGCAGGGAAGCAUGCAGAUUAUCCCCAUGCACAAGUGGGGAUCCAGUGACCUUGAGGAGCUUGGGAUAAAGAUUGUAGUACACCCUCCCACAAGAAGCUGCAAAAAGGGAGCUGCAGUCCCAGGACUGGAUCAUUCACCCAGAGCCAGGCCUGGGCCGGGACCAGGCAGUACCCACGAAAGCACUAGCACCUGCUGUGCAGACAAAGGACCUAGGAGCUGGCUGCUCUGGGAGAAGGAAGGUCAAGAAAAUACCUGGGGAUUCAGAGGCAAGACCUUAAGGCCACCAUCACCGAGGCUAGCUCCUUGACUCAUGUCACCCCACUGCAGACAGCACCUGCACCUUUUUGUCUGAAUGUUCAUUACCUACAUAGACUCGUUCACUCAAACACAAAUAAGAAAGAUUCUAUAUAUGCAAAUGACCAGGCCCAUUUUAGGUCUUGCCCCUCACCCCCACCUCCGAAACAGGAGUCGGGAAAUAUUUCCUCACUGUUGAGUGGUGGGUUUAAGUGGGGCACGGUAAGGGGGAGUGGUAUAGCCACCAGAUCUCCCCAGGGAGCACUCCUCCUCCACAGCCAAGGCCAAGGAUUCCCCCGGCUCCAGGAACCCCUAGUCCUGAGUUCUACAGAGACAUUCUCACUGGAGGGGUCUAUUUCAAUCGAACACAAUGAGGCCUGGGGGAGGUGGGGAGAGCUUGCAGCUGGAUGUGUGCGCCCAAAAAGUGUGGCCUAGAGGGCAAUAGGGCUGAGUCUCCAACUAGAUCAUCACUAUGGAUAUUCAGCUCUGCCAUUUACAGUCGUGACUUUUUAUUUAUUUAUUUAUUUAUUUAUUUAUUUAUUUAUUUAUUGAGACAGAGUUUCACCCUGUCGCCCAGGCUGGAGUGCAGUGGCUCAACUUCGGCUCACUGAAAACCUCAUCUCCUGGGUUCAAGUGAUUCUCCUGCCUCAGCCUCCAGAGUAGCUAGGAUCACAGGCAUGCACCACCACAUCCAGCUAAUUUUUGUAUUUUUAGUAGAGAUGGGGUUUCACCACAUUGGCCAGACUGGUCUCGAACUCCUGACCUCAAGUGAUCCACCUGCUUCGACCUCCCAAAGUGCUGGGAUUACACCGCACCCGGCCUAGUCGUGACUUUAGUGAAGCUCCUGACCUCCCCUGUGCCUCAGACACUUCAUUUAUAAAGUGGGCACCAACACAAAAUCAGCCUUAUAGUGCGAAUGAGAUGCUGCAGGUCGAGGCCUUAGAGCAGGGUCAGGCACACAGCACAGACUUAAUUUGUGUUCACUGUCAUCAUUAUCAGUGUGCCUCGCACAUGCUAAUCCCAGCAACGUUACCCUUUUAGAGGAGAUGUCCAGGCUGGGUGUAGUAGCUCCUGCCUGUAAUCCCAGCACUUUGGGAGGCUGAGGCGGGAGGAUGGCUUGAGCCCAGGAGUUUGAGACCAGCCUGGGCAAUAUAGAGAGACCCCAUCUCAACCAAAAAAUAAAAAAAUUAGCCAGGCAUGGUAGGGCACACCGGUAGCCCCAGCUACUCUGGAGGCUGAGGUGGGAGGAUCACUUGAGCCCAGAAGGUAGAGGCUGCUGUGAGCCAUGACUGUGCCACUGCAUUCCAUCUUAGGUGACCAAGCGAGACGCUGUCUCAUAAAUAAAUCAAAGGAAAGCACUCUGGAGUCAUAAUAAGUAGCUAGAGGAGAUGUCCAAAUUCCCAUUCUGCAGGAGCUCUGUGGCCUGAGCCAUAAGAGACCAUAAAAGACCUUCAGCAGCUGGGUCUGGGGUCAGUGGCCACUAAGCUUUUAAAGGGGGUGGAAGCCUGAAACAUCAAGGACAGACUCUUAUCAAGGAGCCUAAGCUGUUGCUGGAUUUGGGAUCUUUCUAGAAAUUGUUGCCCUAUAACAUACUGGCAUCAUCCCUGUAAAGGCUGCUUCUCCAAAGCGCUAGUGGGGUGUCGAUGAACACUCACUCCCUGCUCCAUUACUGGGUAUCUAUUAGAGGCACUUAAUGAAGCAUCACAUGCUUUGCAUCAUUAAUUCCUCUAACAUCCUCUUGAUGGGCAUUGCUAUUAGCUCCAUUUCACAGCUGCGGAAAACUGAGGCACAAGAAAGUUGCCUGUCUUCCUCAUAUAAGUAGUUAUGGGAGAUCAAGGAUUUGAACAUGGUAGCUUUGACUCCAGAGUGCUCUCCUUUUAUGACACCAGCCUGCAGGGGUCCCAGACUCAACCACAUGCAGGGGCCGGGCAAGUAACAUACACGGGGCAGGCAGGCCUGGUAGGUGAGUGGUGGAGACAGUGGCAAGAUGGGGGAGUAGGACUCACUCCCCAGCCCCAGCUGACAGCUGCCACGUGGGACUGCAGAUUCCCAUGUGUUCCCAAGUCUUCUUAUUUUCUGAAAAGAUGCCAAAACUCUGGAUCUUUAUGUGAGAAAUCUCCCAAUUUUCCCAACAAAACACUUCUUGAGCCCCACACUGUGUGGCCGCUGUAGGGAAUGACCCUGUGCCAGCUCCAGUGGCAUGGCCCCUAGGGAUGGUAAGGGCGGGGUCAGCCCACCCUGCCACUGGCACCCUGGCACCCAGGCACCCAACCCACGCUGCUUCUCUCCAAGGCCUCCUGGACUCCACUGCACUCCCAGACUCUAAGGGUACCUUUCUACUCAGAGCCCAGGUAGAGGAGGGACCUCAUGCAGACUCAUGCGAUUUAUCUGAGAUCUGUGGUUUGAAGAGGGGGAGGUUCAAAUUUUUCCAAACCUCUCACAAAAUUCCUUCUACCCUAGCGAUGGAAGUCUAGGGGUCUGUCACAACACAGCCCCCACCCCUAGACUUCCUUCAUCCGUGUCUUUCCUGUACAUGAGGACUGAAGAUGACAGAAUGACAUUACAGACCAGUUACUAGUGAGCUCACUAUUUCUUUUUUAGUUCCCAGGAGUGGUGGCAGUUCUGCAGGGAACCAUUCACACUCUUUUAUGGCCUGAUUUAGACAUAAGCAAGAUGGCUGGAGAGCUGCCCGACUUGUUCACGUGGGAGCAGGGUGUGACUCUGGCCUCAUCGGGACAAAUGAUCUGAGCAAAACCCAGUCUUGCCGCUUGAUAAAGCACAUAAGUAAAGGUGAUGGAUGUCUGGCCGGGCGUGGUGGUUCACGCCUGUAAUCCCAGCACUUUGGGAGGCUGAGGUGGGUGGAUUACCUGAGGUCUGGAGUUUGAGACCAGCCUGGCCAAAAUGUUGAAAAUGAAACCCCAUCUCUACCAAAAAUACAAAAAUUAGCCAGGUGUGGUGGUAGGUGCCUACAAUCCCAGAUACUCAGGAGGCUGAGGCAGGAGAAUCACUUGAACCAGGGAGGUGGAGGCUGCAGUGAGCCAAGAUCAUGCCACUGCACUCCAGCCUGGUGGAAAGAGUGAGACUCCAUCUCAAAAAAAAAAAAAAAAGGUAACUGAUAUCCAAUAACCAGGUACUGGUUUGGGGCUUUACAGUUUGUUAAAUACUUUAACACACAGUCUCUCAUUUCUUCCCCACAAUCAACCUCAUCUUAUUGAUAAGAAAACUGCAUCUCAAAUAGGUGGAAGAGGCCAUAUAGAUAAGCAGGUGACCCCUACCAAUGUCAAUAUCCUUUGACGCAAUACUUUCGCUUUCAGAAUUUUUCCCAAGGAAAUAAUCAGAGAUGAACCCCAAAAUUUAUAUUUUAGAAUGUUCACCAUAGUAUUCAUUUUAGGAAUAAAACUGGAAACAACAUCCAACUCUAGGGGAUUAGCUAAAUAAAUAUUAAGUCAGUGCAGAGCACAUUUAUGCGGCCAUUCCAAAUCAAUCUACAUUUUGUUUCCCCUGGAAACAUUAGGCAGUAUUUAAACCUUCAACCUUUGAUUCUCUUUUUCCCAGAAGACACUUUCUGAUGGCUGUACCAAUAACUUGGUAAAAACAAAACGGGCCACUUGUCCUCAUGUCUAAUUCACACUAACUUCCAUUCUUCCUAGCCCCCUUCCUUCCAACCUGGGCAGGCAGGGCUAAGCACUGGGCUCUGAACUCAGUCCAAAGGGCUCUUUUUUGGAGAUUUCAGGCCUCUGCAUUUGGCAAAGUGCCUCCUAGUCUUGAUCAUGUUUUUUUUUUUUUUAAUAUCUGGCAUGUAUUUCCAUAUAGCAGCGUACAGCACAGAAACUCUCAAAUACCCUUUCAUUCAGCAAACACACACACUAGUGCCUGUUCUGUGCCAGGCACACAGGAGGCCUUGGGAAGACAAAGAUGAAUGAGAUACAGCCUCUGUUUUCGUUGGUGACACAACUGAAGUAUAGCUGUCAUGGAGGAGGAGUUACAGCCAACACAGAAAAAUUAUUUCAUUUUAUGCUUCUCCAUAAGACCUCUUCUAAUGUGCUUGAAUCUACUGUCCAACAGAGAAGAGGACCUGGACACUUC
rnacentral:lncRNA from 10 species